AAAAUGUUAAAUUUAUUUAUCAUCAAAAAGAGAAUAUGUACAAUGAAAGAGGACUGUCAUAAGGCGGACUCAGUAAACUGUGCCUAGCCAUGAAUGUAUUAGCAAGAGCUCCACGGCUCCGUCAUCAGCUCCAGAAUCUGACACAAGAUCGGAGAAAAACUCAAAUGCAGAUGAAGGGUCAACGAGUCAGAACGACGUCGCUGCAGUAAACAAAGGAAAAGGGAUAUUGGGCCACUCACCUAACAAGCCCAAUGUCAACUUAACUGAGAAGCCCAACAAAUCUUCUUCAUCUUCUCAACGGUCAAAACCACCUAUGCAAGAGAACAAAGCCAGAGUAACGACAGAGAAGAGGAGCGUCUGUCGUACGCCUCCAAUCAACACGGAGAACAGAUUUGAUUGUUUGAUGAUCUGCUAAGCAUAACAAGAUUGAGACAUCUGUCAGUUUACAAUAAUUGAAACUCUAGCGUUGUUUAACUAUAAAAGGAAACUUGUGAUGUAACAUAAAACUUAAGUGAAAUAAUAAGAAAGUAAAGUUCACUCAAAACAUUACCUAAAAUAGCCGUCUUGCUCUUAAUUUCAGAAUGGUUGUGAGUUUUCAAAUAGAUUAGAAUUUAAAUUGUCAAU
rnacentral:sRNA from 1 species